CCUACGGGAGGCAGCAGUAGGGAAUCUUCGUCAAUGGGCGCAAGCCUGAACGAGCAAUGCCGCGUGAACGAGGAAGGUCUUCGGAUCGUAAAGUUCUGUUGAAGGGGAAAAAGAGCGGAGAGAGGAAAUGGUCUCCGAUUGAUAUUACCCUUCGAGGAAGUCACGGCUAACUACGUGCCAGCAGCCGCGGUAAUACGUAGGUGGCGAGCGUUAUCCGGAAUGAUUGGGCGUAAAGGGUGCGUAGGCGGCCUGCUAAGUCGGGAGUGAAAGGUACCGGCUCAACCGGUAUAGGCUCUGGAAACUGGCGGGCUAGAGAGCAGGAGAGGGCGGUGGAACUCCAUGUGUAGCGGUAAAAUGCGUAGAUAUAUGGAAGAACACCAGUGGCGAAGGCGGCCGCCUGGCCUGUUACUGACGCUGAGGCGCGAAAGCGUGGGGAGCAAAUAGGAUUAGAUACCCGGGUAGUC
rnacentral:rRNA from 1 species